UUUGAUUCAAAUAAUAUAAACUUUGUAAUAAUUUUGAGAUCAAAUAUAAUCCAAGAUAAUGCUCUCCAAAUUUUGCCAACAUAGUUCAAUAGGCCAAAUCAUCAAGUAUUAAGUAUUUACACCUAAUAACAUCCAACACAAAUCUUGAACCACAAUCGAACCGAGAACUCGGAAGUAAAAUUUUGAUCACACUAGGUUGAACCAAAAUACUUGCAUAACCACAAUCAAAAUCCCCAUUAAUCACAAUUAACAAAACAAAAAAUUAAUCAAUCACGAUUCACUAAGAUCAUCAAGCCUCUUCAAAACCUCCAACGUCCACUGAUACCUCUCCUCCAUCUCCUUCCUCCUUUCCAAAUACUCAUAAGCCAUUCUCCCAGCCUUCAUAAAAAUAUCUUCUUUCACCUCCACCGUCUCCUCCACUGUCUCCUCCGCCUUCUACACCGCCGGCACAGCGUCGACGGCGAGCCAGAGGUCCUCGCCGCGGCGGAAGCACCAGAGCCGAACCAGAGCGCCUUCGAACAGAACUCCCCUGCUCCUCUUGAGCACCAGGCUCCAGUUGGCGCUGAUCAGGUAAUCCCGGCCGCCGUUGACCAGCUUCAUGGCGACGGUGCAGGUCUUCAGCGACGGGUCCACCAGCAUCUCCACGACUGUUCUGUCGUUGAAUUUGAUGAUGUUGUCGGCGGAGGCGGCGGUUAGCUGUCUAUGUUCUGCGGCGGUGAGGAAGUUCCGGGUGGAGGGUUGGGAAGAUGGGAGUAGGAGCUUUUCCUGUCGGCGGCGGUGAGUAUUUUUUCGAUGAUGAUUUGGGGUUGGCUGUGGUGGACUCAGAUUGAGUCGAUUUUGGACUUCAGGGGUUCAGGGAUUGCGGCGGAACAGGGGAUGGCCGGCAUUGUUUGUUGUCGGGGGAUUUAGAUUUGGUGGGUUUAGUUUCUGGAUAGUUGGAGGAAUUGGAGACGGUGG
rnacentral:lncRNA from 1 species